GACGAACGCUGGCGGCGUGCUUAACACAUGCAAGUCGAACGGAAAGGCCCUGCUUUUGUGGGGUGCUCGAGUGGCGAACGGGUGAGUAACACGUGAGUAACCUGCCCUUGACUUUGGGAUAACUUCCGGAAACUGGGGCUAAUACCGGAUAUGAGCUCCUGCUGCAUGGUGGGGGUUGGAAAGUUUCGGCGGUUGGGGAUGGACUCGCGGCUUAUUAGCUUGUUGGUGGGGUAGUGGCUUACCAAGGCUUUGACGGGUAGCCGGCCUGGGAGGGUGACCGGCCACAUUGGGACUGGGAUACGGCCCAGACUCCUACGGGAGGCAGCAGUGGGGAAUAUUGCACAAUGGGCGGAAGCCUGAUGCGGCAACGCCGCGUGCGGGAUGACGGCCUUCGGGUUGUAAACCGCUUUCGCCUGUGACGAAGCGUGAGUGACGGUAAUGGGUAAAGAAGCACCGGCUAACUACGUG
rnacentral:rRNA from 1 species